CAUUACCGAGUGAGGGCCCUCUGGGUCCAACCUCCCACCCAUGUUUAUUGUACCUUGUUGCUUCGGCGGGCCCGCCUCACGGCCGCCGGGGGGCUUCUGCCCUCUGGCCCGCGCCCGCCGAAGACACCAUUGAACACUGUCUGAAGAUUGCAGUCUGAGCAAUUAGCUAAAUAAGUUAAAACUUUCAACAACGGAUCUCUUGGUUCCGGCAUCGAUGAAGAACGCAGCGAAAUGCGAUACGUAAUGUGAAUUGCAGAAUUCAGUGAAUCAUCGAGUCUUUGAACGCACAUUGCGCCCCUUGGUAUUCCGGGGGGCAUGCCUGUCCGAGCGUCAUUGCUGCCCUCAAGCACGGCUGCUGUGUUGGGCCCCGUCCUCCUUCCCGGGGGACGGGCCCGAAAGGCAGCGGCGGCACCGCGUCCGGUCCUCGAGCGUAUGGGGCUUUGUCACCCGCUCUUGUAGGCCCGGCCGGCGCUUGCCGACAACCAUCAAUCUUUUUUCAGGUUGACCUCGGAUCAGGUAGGGAUACCCGCUGAACUUAAGCAUAUCAAUAAGCGGAGGAAAAGAAACCAACAGGGAUUGCCUCAGUAACGGCGAGUGAAGCGGCAAGAGCUCAAAUUUGAAAGCUGGCCCCCUCGGGGUCCGCAUUGUAAUUUGCAGAGG
rnacentral:rRNA from 1 species